rnacentral:tRNA from 1 species
GCCGAGAUCGCAUAAUCUGGUAUUGCGCUACCCUGGAAAGGUAGUUUCCUUCGGGAUGUGUGAGUUCAAAUCUCACUCUCGGCG